GACGAACGCUGGCGGCGUGCUUAACACAUGCAAGUCGAACGAUGACGGCCGAUCUUUCUCGGUCUGAUUAGUGGCGAACGGGUGAUUAACACGUGAGCAACCUGCCCUUCACUCUGGGUUAACCUCGGGAAAUCUGGGCUAAUACCGGAUAUGAGCUCCUGUCGCAUGGCGGGUGUUGGCAAGUUUUUCGGUGGCGGCUGGUCUCGCGGCCUAUCGGUUUGUUGGUGAGGGAUUGGCACACCAAGGCGCUGACGGGUAGCCGGCCUGAGAGGGCGACCGGCCACACUGGGACUGAGACACGGCCCAGACUCCAACGGGAGGCAGCAGUGGGGAAUAUUGCACAAUGGGCGAAAGCCUGAUGCAGCGACGCCGCGUGAGGGAUGACGGCCUUCGGGUUGUAAACAGCUUUCAGCAGGGAAGAAGCGAAAGUGACGGUACCUGAAGAAGAAGCGCCGGCUAACUACGUG
rnacentral:rRNA from 1 species